rnacentral:rRNA from 1 species
UAGGGAAUCUUCCACAAUGGACGCAAGUCUGAUGGAGCAACGCCGCGUGAGUGAAGAAGGUUUUCGGAUCGUAAAGCUCUGUUGUUGGUGAAGAAGGAUAGAGGCAGUAACUGGUCUUUAUUUGACGGUAAUCAACCAGAAAGUCACGGCUAACUACGUGCCAGCAGCCGCGGUAAUACGUAGGUGGCAAGCGUUGUCCGGAUUUAUUGGGCGUAAAGCGAGCGCAGGCGGAAUGAUAAGUCUGAUGUGAAAGCCCACGGCUCAACCGUGGAACUGCAUCGGAAACUGUCAUUCUUGAGUGCAGAAGAGGAGAGUGGAACUCCAUGUGUAGCGGUGGAAUGCGUAGAUAUAUGGAAGAACACCAGUGGCGAAGGCGGCUCUCUGGUCUGCAAACUGACGCUGAGGCUCGAAAGCAUGGGUAGCGAACAGGAUUAGAUACCCUGGUAGUCCAUGCCGUAAAACGAUGAGCGCUAGGUGUUGGGGACUUUCCGGUCCUCAGUGCCGCAGCAAAACGCAUUAAGCGCUCCGCCUGGGGGAGUAC